GACGAACGCUGGCGGCGUGCCUAAUACAUGCAAGUCGAGCGGACUGAAGGGAGCUUGCUCUUUUAGGUUAGCGGCGGACGGGUGAGUAACACGUGGGCAACCUGCCCUGCAGACUGGGAUAACUUCGGGAAACCGGAGCUAAUACCGGAUAACACCGAAAACCGCAUGGUUUUCGGUUGAAAGGCGGCUUUUAGCUGUCACUGCAGGAUGGGCCCGCGGCGCAUUAGCUAGUUGGUGAGGUAACGGCUCACCAAGGCGACGAUGCGUAGCCGACCUGAGAGGGUGAUCGGCCACAUUGGGACUGAGACACGGCCCAG
rnacentral:rRNA from 1 species